rnacentral:rRNA from 1 species
CUACGGGCUGCUCCAGUGAGGAAUAUUGCACAAUGGGGGGAACCCUGAUGCAGCAACGCCGCGUGGAGGAUGACGCAUUUCGGUGUGUAAACUCCUUUUAUGUGUCAAGAAAAUGACGGUAGCAUAUGAAUAAGCACCGGCUAACUCCGUGCCAGCAGCCGCGGUAAUACGGAGGGUGCAAGCGUUACUCGGAAUCACUGGGCGUAAAGGACGCGUAGGCGGGUUGGAAAGUCAGGUGUGAAAUCCUACAGCUUAACUGUAGAACUGCACUUGAAACUUCUAAUCUAGAGAAUGGGAGGGGGAGAUGGAAUUAGUGGUGUAGGGGUAAAAUCCGUAGAUAUCACUAGGAAUACCUAAAGCGAAGGCGAUCUCCUGGAACAUUACUGACGCUAAGGCGUGAAAGCGUGGGGAGCAAACAGGAUUAGAUACCCCCGUAGUC